rnacentral:rRNA from 1 species
GACGAACGCUGGCGGCGUGCUUAACACAUGCAAGUCGAACGGAAAGGCCCCGCUUGCAGGGUACUCGAGUGGCGAACGGGUGAGUAACACGUGGGUGAUCUGCCCUGCACUUCGGGAUAAGCUUGGGAAACUGGGUCUAAUACCGGAUAGGAGCCAUCUUUAGUGUGGUGGUUGGAAAGUUUUUUCGGUGUAGGAUGAGCUCGCGGCCUAUCAGCUUGUUUGUGGGGUAAUGGCCUACCAAGGCGGCGACGGGUAGCCGGCCUGAGAGGGUGUACGGCCACAUUGGGACUGAGAUAAGGGCCAGACUCCUACGGGAGGCAGCAGUGGGGAAUAUUGCACAAUGGGGGCAAGCCUGAUGCAGCGACGCCGCGUGGGGGAUGAAGGCCUUCGGGUUGUAAACUCCUUUCGCUAGGGACGAAGCUUUGUUGUGACGGUACCUAGAUAAGAAGCACCGGCUAACUACGUG